GCCGUUGGGGUCCUCGAGACCUUUGUGGCGCAGUUAACGCGAUAAGUCGACCGCCUGGGGAGUACGGCCGCAAGGUUAAAACUCAAAUGAAUUGACGGGGGCCCGCACAAGCGGUGGAGCAUGUGGUUUAAUUCGAUGCAACGCGAAGAACCUUACCUACUCUUGACAUCGAGCGAACUUUCCAGAGAUGGAUUGGUGCCUUCGGGAACGCUCAGACAGGUGCUGCAUGGCCGUCGUCAGCUCGUGUUGUGAAAUGUUGGGUUAAGUCCCGUAACGAGCGCAACCCUUGUCCCUAUUUGCCAGCGAUUCGGUCGGGAACUCUAGGGAGACUGCCGGUGACAAACCGGAGGAAGGUGGGGACGACGUCAGGUCAUCAUGGCCCUUACGAGUAGGGCUACACACGUGCUACAAUGGCCGGUACAAUGGGCUGCAAUCCCGCGAGGGGGAGCUAAUCUCAUAAAGCCGGUCUCAGUCCGGAUCGGAGUCUGCAACUCGACUCCGUGAAGUCGGAAUCGCUAGUAAUCGUGCAUCAGAAUGGCACGGUGAAUACGUUCCCGGGCCUUGUACACACCGCCCGUCACACCAUGGGAGUGGACUGCACCAGAAGUGGUUAGCCUAACUUCGGAGGGCGAUCACCACGGUGUGGUUCAUGACUGGGGUGAAGUCGUACAGGGUAACCGUCG
rnacentral:rRNA from 1 species